rnacentral:rRNA from 1 species
CGAAAGCCUGACGGAGCAAGACCGCGUGAGGGAGGAAGGCUCUUGGGUUGUAAACCUCUUUUCUCAAGGAAGAAGAAAGUGACGGUACUUGAGGAAUCAGCAUCGGCUAACUCCGUGCCAGCAGCCGCGGUAAUACGGAGGAUGCAAGCGUUAUCCGGAAUUAUUGGGCGUAAAGCGUCCGCAGGUGGCGAUUCAAGUCUGCUGUCAAAGCACGGGGCUUAACUCCGUUAAGGCAGUGGAAACUGAAUGGCUAGAGUGCCGUAGGGGUAGAGGGAAUUCCCGGUGUAGCGGUGAAAUGCGUAGAGAUCGGGAAGAACACCAGUGGCGAAGGCGCUCUACUGGGCCGCGACUGACGCUGAGGGACGAAAGCUAGGGGAGCG